GACGAACGCUGGCGGCGUGCUUAACACAUGCAAGUCGAACGCUGAAGCACCAGCUUGCUGGUGUGGAUGAGUGGCGAACGGGUGAGUAAUACGUGAGUAACCUGCCCUUGACUCUGGGAUAAGCCCGGGAAACUGGGUCUAAUACUGGAUGCUACAUGUCACCGCAUGGUGGUGUGUGGAAAGGGUUUACUGGUCUUGGAUGGGCUCACGGCAUAUCAGCGUGUUGGUGAGGUAAUGGCUAACCAACGCGACGACGGGUAGCCGGCCUGAGAGGGUGACAGGCCACACUGGGACUGAGAGACGGCCCAGACUGCUACGGGAGGCAGCAGUGGGAAAUAUUGCACAAGGGGCGAAAGCCUGAUGCAGAGACGCCGCGUGAGGGAUGACGGCCUUCGGGUUGUAAACCGCUUUCAGCAGGGAAGAAGCCACAAGUGACGGUACCUGCAGAAGAAGCGCCGGCUAACUACGUG
rnacentral:rRNA from 1 species